CAAGACAAAUGCUUCAGAUCUAAAGAAACUCACAAACUGAAAGUGAAGGGAUGGAAAAGAUGCUCCAUGUAAAUGGCAAUUUAAAAAAAAAAAAAAGCUGGAGCAGCAAUACUACUAUCAAACAAAAUAGACUUUAAAACAAAAACUGUAACAAGAGACAAAGAAGAACACCACAUAAGGAUAAAGGAAACAAUCCAACAAGAGGAUAUAACAUUUGUAAAUAUCUAUGCACUGAACACAGGACAACCUAAGAAUAUACAAAGCAAUUAUUAAGACACAAAAGGACAAAUAGACAGCAACAAAAUAAUAGUAGAGGACUUUAACACACCACUUACACCAAUGAAUAGAUUAUCCAAACAGAAAGUCAAUAAGGAAACGUUGGCCUUAAAUUACACAUUAGACCAGAUGGACUUAGUAGAUAAAUACAGAACAUUCCAUCCAAAAAUAACAGAAAUAUAUAUUCGUUUCAAAUUCACGUGGAACAUUCUCCAGGAUAGAUCACAUAUCAAGCCACAAAAGAAGUCUCAAUAAAUUUAAGAAGAUUGAAAUAAUACCAAGCAUCUUUUCUGAUCAUAAUGGUAUGAGUCCAGAAACCAACAACAGGAAGAAAAUUGGAAAAGCCACAAAUAUGUAGAGUUUAAACAAAAUGCUACUGAAAAAAUUAGGUCAAUGAAGAAAUCAAAAAAUACCUGGAGACAAAUGAAAACAUCAAAAUUUUGGGGAUAUGGCAAAUCUAAGAAGGAAGUUUAUAGCAAUACAGGCCUGCCUCAACAAAUAAGAAUAAUCUCAAACAAAUGAUCUAACACUACACCUAAAAGAACUGGGAAAAGAAGAACAAGCAAAGCCCAAAAUAAGUAGAAGGAAGGAAAUGAUAAAAAUCGGAGCAUAUAGAUGAAAUAGAAACUAAAAUAUAUAUACUUAUAUAUAUAUAUAUAUAUAUAAAAUGACUGAAGUUGAGUUGGUUCUUUCAAAAUAUAGAUAAAUUGACAAAACUUUAGCGAGACUCACCAAGAAAAAAAGAGAGACGUUUCAAAUAAAUAAAAUCAGAAAUGAAACAGGAGAAAUUACAACAGACAUCUCAGAAAUACAAAAGAUUAUAAGAGAAUAUUACAAAAAGCUUUUAGCCAACAAACGGAUAAUCUAGAAGAAAUGGAUAAAUUCUUAGAAUAAUACAACCUUCCAAAAUUGAAUCAAUAAGAAAUAGAGAAUUUGAAUACAUCAAUCACUAUUAAGGAGAUCGAAACAGUAACCAAAGACCUCCCAAAAAAUAAAAGUCCAGGACCAGAUGGCUUCCCCAGGAAAUGCUACCAAACAUUCAAAGCAAACUGAAUACCUAUCCUUCUUAAACUCUUCCAAAAAAUUGAAGAGGAGGGGAAGCUUCCUAACUCAUUCUAUGAAGCCAACAUUACCCUGAUACCAAAACCAGACAAG
rnacentral:lncRNA from 1 species